GCCUGAUCCAGCAUGCCGCGUGAGUGAAGAAGGCCUUCGGGUUGUAAACCUCUUUUCUCAGGGCAAGUAAAAGGGCCGGGCAGGGAAGAAGCUCCGGAUAAUUCCGUGCCACCAGCCGCCGGAAUACUACGGGGGAUGCCCCCGUUCGGAAUUACUGGUGCGUCGAGAAGACUCCGGCUGUGGUGCAAGUAGGAGGUGAAAGCCCGGGGCUCAACUCCGGAACUGCCUUUGAAACUAGACCUCUACAAAUGCAGGAGAGGUGGGUGGAAUUCCGAGUGUGGAGGUGAAAUUCGUAUAUAUUCGGAAGAACCCCUUGGGUGAAAGCGGCUCAUUGGGCCUAUAGUGACGCUGAGGUGCAAAAACGUGGGGGGAAAACAGGAAUAAAUACCCUGGGAGUCCCCUCCGCUAAAUACUAUGGCUUGCUGGCAGGGCUCUUUCUCCCCCUUUCGCGCCGUAACUUU
rnacentral:rRNA from 1 species